rnacentral:lncRNA from 1 species
AUUCUUGUUCCGUACCACCCACCCACCAUCCGAUAUAGGGUGCUGGUGAUGAAUAAGACCCGUGCGAUACCCAAUCGAGACAAACACCGUGUGCGCUACACGAAUAAACGACAAGUUGAUUCAUAUCGAGCCCUGAAGAAGAUCCCAACAACUGGAUCGAAACGUUGGCAAUGAUUUAAAAUAAUCAACGCUUAAUUCGUGACUGAAAGCCGAAAUCCAAUUAUCAU